AACGGCUACCACAUCCAAGGAAGGCAGCAGGCGCGCAAAUUACCCAAUCCCGACACGGGGAGGUAGUGACAAUAAAUACUGAUACAGGGCUCUUUUGGGUCUUGUAAUUGGAAUGAGUACAAUUUAAAUCCCUUAACGAGGAACAAUUGGAGGGCAAGUCUGGUGCCAGCAGCCGCGGUAAUUCCAGCUCCAAUAGCGUAUAUUAAAGUUGUUGCAGUUAAAAAGCUCGUAGUUGAACCUUGGGCCUGGCUGGCCGGUCCGCCUCACCGCGUGUACUGGUCCGGCCGGGCCUUUCCUUCUGGGGAGCCGCAUGCCCUUCACUGGGCGUGUUGGGGAACCAGGACUUUUACUUUGAAAAAAUUAGAGUGUUCAAAGCAGGCCUUUGCUCGAAUACAUUAGCAUGGAAUAAUAGAAUAGGACGUGCGGUUCUAUUUUGUUGGUUUCUAGGACCGCCGUAAUGAUUAAUAGGGAUAGUCGGGGGCAUCAGUAUUCAAUUGUCAGAGGUGAAAUUCUUGGAUUUAUUGAAGACUAACUACUGCGAAAGCAUUUGCCAAGGAUGUUUUCAUUAAUCAGUGAACGAAAGUUAGGGGAUCGAAGACGAUCAGAUACCGUCGUAGUCUUAACCAUAAACUAUGCCGACUAGGGAUCGGGCGAUGUUAUCAUUUUGACUCGCUCGGCACCUUACGAGAAAUCAAAGUCUUGGGUUCUGGGGGGAGUAUGGUCGCAAGGCUGAAA
rnacentral:rRNA from 1 species